UACGUAGGGUGCAAGCGUUGUCCGGAAUUAUUGGGCGUAAAGAGCUCGUAGGCGGUUUGUUGCGUCGGCUGUGAAAAUCCCCGAGGCUCAACCUCGGGUCUGCAGUCGAUACGAGCAAACUAGAGUGUUGCAGGGGAGACUGGAAUUCCUGGUGUAGCGGUGAAAUGCGCAGAUAUCAGGAGGAACACCGGUGGCGAAGGCGGGUCUCUGGGCAACAACUGACGCUGAGGAGCGAAAGCGUGGGGAGCGAACAGG
rnacentral:rRNA from 1 species